UGAAUGCAUACAUGGAAAUUUUUUUUUCAAAUAUUAUAGAUAUUUUAAAUAAACAACCUAGUGACACAUCUCAAAGCAAAAAGAAAAGAAAGAAAAAAACAAGAAAAAAUAAAACUCCAUAUUAGCAGGAGGACAGAAAUAAUGAAGAUCAGAGAAGAAAUAAAUGAAAUCAAAACCAAAACACAAUACAAAAGAUCAAUAAAAACGUUGCUUUUUUUAAAGAUAACAAAUCUUAGUCAGACUAGCUAAGAAAAACAGAGAAUAUCCAAGUCCAUAAUAUUAGACAUGACAAAGGAAAUAUUAAAAGGGAUACCAUGGAAACAAAAAAUCAUAAGAAACUGCUAUGAACAAUUAUAUGCUAACAAAUUGGCAAACUUAGAAGAAAGUGAUAAAUUUCUGAACAUAUACAACCUACCAAGACUGAAUCAAGAAGAAAUAGAUAAUCUCAACAGACCAAUAAUGCAUAAUGAGAUCAAAGCAGUAAUUGAAAAUCUCCAAACAACAAAACCAGUUGCAAUAUGACCCAGCAAUUCCACUCCUAGGUACAAAUUAAAAAAAAAAAAAACUAUACCAAAAUUUGCAUACUAGUAUUUACAGUAGCAUUACAUAUUACAGCAAAGAAAAAGAAACAAAUGUCCAGCAGCUGAUAUGUCAUAUCCAUACAAGAUAAUUUUAUUGAGCUAUAAAGAGAAAUGAAU
rnacentral:lncRNA from 1 species